rnacentral:rRNA from 1 species
GAUGAACGCUGGCGGCGUGCCUAAUACAUGCAAGUCGAGCGAACAGAUGAGGAUCUUGCUCCUCUGACGUUAGCGGCGGACGGGUGAGUCACACGUGGAUAACCUACCUAUAAGACUGGGAUAACUUCGGGAAACCGGAGCUAAUACCGGAUAAUAUAUUGAACCGCAUGGUUCAAUAGUGAAAGACGGUUUUGCUGUCACUUAUAGAUGGAUCCGCGCCGCAUUAGCUAGUUGGUAAGGUAACGGCUUACCAAGGCAACGAUGCGUAGCCGACCUGAGAGGGUGAUCGGCCACACUGGAACUGAGACACGGUCCAGACUCCUACGGGAGGCAGCAGUAGGGAAUCGUCCGCAAUAGGCGAGAGCCUGACGGAACGACACCGCGUGAGAGAUGAAGGUCUUCGGAUCGUCAAACUCUGUUAUUAGGGAAGAACAAAGGUGUAAGUAACUAUGCAAGGAUUGACGGUACCGAAUCAGAAAGCAACGGCUAACUACGUG